rnacentral:misc_RNA from 1 species
UAUCUGAUAACAUACAUUUUUCAAACGUUGUUUGGAAAUCUCAGGUAUAAACCUGAGCUGGGUCGCAACUGUGACUUUGAAUAUUUGUUAUGUGUUAUGAAGGUUCUGGUUACCUUCCAAGUUAUGAUUGUAACAACUAACUUGGUACGGUCUGGUAAUCGGAGGGCUGAGUCCAACUUUGUAACUCAUUUGUUGUUACUCCCCUGUUGUUAUGUAUUUUCCACGGUGGUUUCAUUAGCAUUCCACACUUCUAUACCUGCUUGGCUAGACCUAGCUACGUAUAGGUAAGCGCCCUCGGGAUGAAGCUUACAAUUGUACAACUUCAUGUGGUGGAUCACUCGGCUCACGUAUCGAUGAAGAGUGCAGCAAACUGUGUUAACCAAUGUGAAACGCAGACUGCUUCGAUCAUCGGUUUCUCGAACGCACAUUGCGGCUUUGGGCUUGCCCUUAGCCACGUUCGAUCGAGUGUCGGCUUUUACCUAUCACAACGCUUAAUUAGUUGUGUAUUGGGGAGCAUACCAUGGCUACAUGAUUUCUUUAUUGGCUUUCACGGAUUUGACGGAAUGCUAGUAUAGAAGUAGUUCAAGUGGUUCUCCC